AUGCCCAAAUUGAGACUCCUCGUGAGGAAAGUUACCUAAAUGGCAUGCAGUCAUAUUUCGUAUUUACUGCAUUGUAACUGAAAAGUUGAUCGAGGCUCCAUUACCUAUGCUAUCACAUCAAUCACCAUGUCUUGCCUAAAAUAAUGGGUCCUCGCUUCUUUGGUUUCCCAAAGAGAUGUGCAUGAUGCACAUACUCCAAUAAUUAGGAUGACUUCAAAAGGUGACUGGUAAAAGAGCGAGGUCAUAUCGAGAAUAUGCAAUUUCAGCUCUUCAUUGAGUAGUUUGGUUGGACAGGAAGACUCUUAUUUUCCAAGAGAAAUAUUCACAUGGAGAAUUUUUCAGAUAAAAGAGAUUUAAAUUCUACCUCUUGCUGGUCUAUGAAUGGGAACAUUCAGA